GGAGUUAGCCGGUGCUUCUUCUGCGAGUAACGUCACAGAUGUAAGGUAUUAACUUACACCCUUUCCUCCUCGCUGAAAGUGCUUUACAACCCGAAGGCCUUCUUCACACACGCGGCAUGGCUGCAUCAGGGUUUCCCCCAUUGUGCAAUAUUCCCCACUGCUGCCUCCCGUAGGAGUCUGGGACGUGUCUCAGUCCCAGUGUGGCUGAUCAUCCUCUCAGACCAGCUAGGGAUCGUCGCCUAGGUGAGCCUUUACCUCACCUACUAGCUAAUCCCACCUGGGCUUAUCCAUCAGCGCAAGGCCCGAAGGUCCCCUGCUUUCCCCCGUAGGGCGUAUGCGGUAUUAGCAGUCGUUUCCAACUGUUAUCCCCCACAAAUGGGCAAAUUCCCAGGCAUUACUCACCCGUCCGCCGCUCGUCAUCUUCAAAAGCAAGCUUUUGAAAUGUUACCGCUCGACUUGCAUGUGUUAGGCCUGCCGCCAGCGUUCAAUCUGAGCCAUGAUCAAACUCUGA
rnacentral:rRNA from 1 species